rnacentral:rRNA from 1 species
GGAAUAUUGGGCAAUGCCCGCAAGGGUGACCCAGCAACGCCGCGUGGAGGAUGAAUGUCGUAAGAUUGUAAACUCCUGUUAGAGGGGAAGAAUAGUACCGGUUGGACCGGUAUAUGACUGUACCCUCAGAGAAAGCCCCGGCUAACUACGUGCCAGCAGCCGCGGUAAUACGUAGGGGGCAAGCGUUGUCCGGAUUUACUGGGUGUAAAGGGCGCGCAGGCGGGAUAAAAAGUCAGUGGUGAAAUCCUACAGCUUAACUGUAGAACUGCCUUUGAUACUUUUAUUCUUGAGUUCGGGAGAGAGAGGCGGAAUUCCAGGUGUAGUGGUGAAAUACGUAGAUAUCUGGAAGAACACCAGUUGCGAAGGCGGUCUCUUGGUCCGACACUGACGCUGUGGCGCGAAAGCGUGGG